rnacentral:rRNA from 1 species
AACGAACGCUGGCGGCAUGCCUAACACAUGCAAGUUGAACGAGACCUUCGGGUCUUGUGGCGCACGGGUGCGUAACGCGUGGGAACCUGCCCUUCGGCUCGGAAUCUCUCCCUGCAAGGGGUGCUAUUACCGGCUAAUGUCCUCCGUUCAAAGAUUUAUCGCCUUUGGAUGGGCCCGCGUUGGAUUAGCUAGUUGGUAGGGUAAAAGCCUACCAAGGCGACGAUCCUUAGCUGGUCUGAGAGGAUGAUCAGCCACACUGGGAAUGAGACACGGCCCAGACUCUUACGAGAGGCAGCAGGAGGGAAUAAUAGACAAUGGACGAAUGCCUGAUCCAGCAAUGCCGCGUAAAUGAUAAAGGCCUUAGGGUUGUAAAGCUCUUUUACCCGGGAUGAUAAUGACGUUACCGGGAUAAUAAGCUCCGGCUAACUCCGUG